UUGUUGCUGCUGAUAGUUCACUGGCCUCCUGAAGAGCAUGAUGUGUGGCUCUGGUCGAUGAAUAGCAUAGUGCACCCAUCCUCUGCUCUGCUGAACUCCAAUUGCACGCCACUCAUUCUAGUUGUCAAUCAAAAGAGACAAACACAUUGUAAACCACAUGCAAUAGCAGAAAUCAAAAUAUGUUCGUUAACAACAAUAAAGCAGCACAUAGCCACAUCUACUCUUGAGUUUAGUCAAACAAGACGAACACAUUGUAAACCACAUGCAAUAGCAGAAAUCAAAAUCUGGUCAUUAACAGCAAUAAAGCAGCACAUAGCCACAUCUACUCUUGAGUUUACACAGUGCUAAAUUACAAUCUGAUAGUACAACACAAUAUCAUUAAUCCAAUUUGGCUUCAAUUAAUCAAACAAGAAGAACACAUUGUAAACCAAAUGCAAUAUCAGAAAUCAAAAUCAUUUCGCUAACAGCAACAAAGCAGCACAAAGCCACAUCUGCUCAUGAGUUUACACAUAGCGCUAAAUUACAAUCUAAUAGUGCAGCAUGAUAUCAUUAAUCUGAUUUGCCUUGGAGUACUCAAACAAGAAGAACACAAUGAAAACUACAUGCAAUACAGAAUAUCAAAAUCAUUUUGUUUGAUUACAUGAAAUAAAGCAGCACAAAACCACAUCUACAUAUGAGCUUUCACAUAGUGCUAAUUGGCAAUCUAAUCAUACACAUGACAUCAUCUAUUUUGACCAUCAUUCAAGUAAACAAACAAGAUGAAUACAACAUAAACCACAUAUAAAAC
rnacentral:lncRNA from 1 species